CCUACGGGUGGCAGCAGUGGGGAAUAUUGGACAAUGGGGGGAACCCUGAUCCAGCCAUGCCGCGUGCGUGAAGAAGGCCCUCGGGUUGUAAAGCACUUUCAGUGAGGAAGAACGCCUGGUGGUUAAUACCCAUCAGGAAAGACAUCACUCACAGAAGAAGCACCGGCUAACUCCGUGCCAGCAGCCGCGGUAAUACGGAGGGUGCGAGCGUUAAUCGGAAUUACUGGGCGUAAAGCGCGCGUAGGUGGCUUGAUAAGCCGGUUGUGAAAGCCCCGGGCUCAACCUGGGAACGGCAUCCGGGACUGUCAAGCUAGAGUGCAGGAGAGGAAGGUAGAAUUCCCGGUGUAGCGGUGAAAUGCGUAGAGAUCGGGAGGAAUACCAGUGGCGAAGGCGGCCUUCUGGACUGACACUGACACUGAGGUGCGAAAGCGUGGGUAGCAAACAGGAUUAGAUACCCGAGUAGUC
rnacentral:rRNA from 1 species